CAUUGGAGCUUCCCAUCUUCGCAUAUAAUGGAGCUUCCCAUCUUCUCUAUUUCUCUAACCCUAAACAUUUCGAUUACCUUAUAAGUUUGCUUCGUUUGUUUUCAUCCUUUUAGCAUCAUCUAGUUUUAAUUGAAAUUUUUGUCGUUGCUGAAGGAAGAGUUACAGAAGACCGAUCUGGAAUUGGAAUUGGCAUCGUACCAGGAUAAGAUCAAAGAGAAUCAGUAGAAGAUUAUGCUCAAGAAGAAGUUGAGGUAGCAAACUAUGUUCUUCAUUUAUUUAAUUUGGAUCUUAUAUCGGAGAUUUCUAGAGUUUGAAUACUGAAUAUUGUGGAAUCCGAUGGAAGGUGUUAUUGAUCUUUUCGCAUUCUUCUUGGGUUAUUAUGUUGUAAUUCUUGGCAAUUUCAGUUACCAGAGGCACCUGAUACAUCGGGGGUAUUCAAUAACAGAGGAAUUGGCAGAAUUUAGGGCAUUUGUGCAUAUAUGUGCUUGUAACCAACAAGAUAUUGAUAAACGUGACCGACGCAGAAUUUAAUGAAAAAAUGUUGCUUCCAUCUUUGACAGGAACCUCAACAUUCUGAUAAACAAUGCUGGAACAAGCACACUUAAGAACCUAGUAGAUUAUACUGUAGAAGAUUGAAGUAAUAUAAUGGGAACUAAUUUUGAGUCUAGUUUCCACCUAUGUCAACUAGCACAUCCAUUUCUCAAAGCAUCUGAAUAUGGGAGCGUAAUAUUUAUAUCCUUCAUUGGAGGUCUUAAAGCUUUGCCUUUUAUAUCUAUUUAUACAUCCUCUAAAGGUAUAUCAUCCCUUUAAAGGUAAUAACAAGUGGUGCAAUUGACAGGAAUAUUCUUCAAAGUAAAUGUUAGUGAAGUUACUUGAACUCCUUUAUGAUGCUCACAUCUUCCUAUCCUUCAUUGUUAGUAUAUAAAACCAUUCCGUAUACUGGUUUUAUCAAACACAAUCUCCUUCAUCUAAGAUUAAUGCUCUUAUCCCUCAUGGAUUUUCAAAUAGGAGUGAUUCUGACAACUCUCAUAGUGGGUUCAAUAAAUUCAGUUACUGGACAAGUUAACACUUUUUGCACAACCUCUAUGAUGAGCAGUUUCACACCAUGCACCAACAUCAUCACAGGAAGCACUAAUUAUAAUGGUUCAAAGCCACCAAGUAGGUGUUGUGAUUCAAUGAGGUCUUUGAUGAGCACCAACGUCAAUUGUGCUUACUUUCUAUUCUCUACCAAUGCUCCAUUUUUCCAACUAACCCUUCACCAUUGCCCUCUCAUUUUCACAAGCAUGCAACAUUAAUGGACUUCCUUUGCAAUGCAAAAGUUUGCAUCUGUUACACUCACAAGCUUUAACAUUCCCAUUUUCAUUUCUGAUAAUCAAAUUAGAUUUCUAAUAGUGUUUUUUUUU